GGAGCUGGUCGGACGGCGGCCCGUAAGGGAGGAAAGUCCGGACUUCACAGAGCAGGGCGCCCAGCAAGACUUCGGUCAAGCUGGGGCGGGGCGAUCCGACGGAAAGUGCAACAGAAACAUACCGCCGAUGCGCAAGCAGGUAAGGGUGAAAUGGUGAGGUAAGAGCUCACCGGCGACGUGGGUAACCACUCGGCCGUGCAAACCCCGCCUGAAGCAAGGCCAAAUAGGGAGAGGAUGACGCUGCUCGCCGACUCUCCGGGUUGGCCGCGUAGAUAAAUCGCCGUACAAACACAGAAUCCGGCUUACAGGCCGGCUCCAAGA
rnacentral:RNase_P_RNA from 1 species